AGUGAACGCUGGCGGUAGGCCUAACACAUGCAAGUCGAACGGCAGCACAGAGGAGCUUGCUCCUUGGGUGGCGAGUGGCGGACGGGUGAGGAAUACAUCGGAAUCUACUCUGUCGUGGGGGAUAACGUAGGGAAACUUACGCUAAUACCGCAUACGACCUACGGGUGAAAGCAGGGGACCUUCGGGCCUUGCGCGAUUGAAUGAGCCGAUGUCGGAUUAGCUAGUUGGCGGGGUAAAGGCCCACCAAGGCGACGAUCCGUAGCUGGUCUGAAAGGAUGAUCAGCCAGACUGGAACUGAGACACGGUCCAGACUCCUACGGGAGGCAGCAGUGGGGAAUAUUGGACAAUGGGCGCAAGCCUGAUCCAGCCAUACCGCGUGGGUGAAGAAGGCCUUCGGGUUGUAAAGCCCUUUUGUUGGGAAAGAAAUCCAGCUGGCUAAUACCCCGGUUGGGAUGACAGUACCCAAAGAAUAAGCACCGGCUAACUUCGUGCCAGCCGCCGCAGUAA
rnacentral:rRNA from 1 species